GUGAUCCUAACGUGGAGAUAUGAAGAAAACCUCUUCCAAAGCUCCAAACUUCCAAACUUGUUAUUUUUGCUCAAAACCUUCAAAACACACCAAAACUCUUAAAACCCUUGAAAGAUUUGGUGAAAAACAUGAAAAACAUGAAAGUCAACUUGGGAGAGGCUUGAACUCACCUUUGACUGCAAGUGGAGGAGAAAUAUCCUCCUUCCACCGACCUUUGGCCCUUUUAUAGGUGGCUGGCCAGACCACCUUCGGCAGCCGAACGUGAAUCCGAAACCAUGCAAUGUUCGGCGGCCGAAAGUGACCUUCGGCGGCCGAACCUUUGCAUUUCUCCCUUAUUGCUUUUCU
rnacentral:lncRNA from 1 species